CGGGACACGUGGUAUCCUGUCUGAAUAUGGGGGGACCAUCCUCCAAGGCUAAAUACUCCUGACUGACCGAUAGUGAACCAGUACCGUGAGGGAAAGGCGAAAAGAACCCCGGCGAGGGGAGUGAAAAAGAACCUGAAACCGUGUACGUACAAGCAGUGGGAGCACGCUUAGGCGUGUGACUGCGUACCUUUUGUAUAAUGGGUCAGCGACUUAUAUUCUGUAGCAAGGUUAACCGAAUAGGGGAGCCGAAGGGAAACCGAGUCUUAACUGGGCGUUAAGUUGCAGGGUAUAGACCCGAAACCCGGUGAUCUAGCCAUGGGCAGGUUGAAGGUUGGGUAACACUAACUGGAGGACCGAACCGACUAAUGUUGAAAAAUUAGCGGAUGACUUGUGGCUGGGGGUGAAAGGCCAAUCAAACCGGGAGAUAGCUGGUUCUCCCCGAAAGCUAUUUAGGUAGCGCCUCGUGAAUUCAUCUCCGGGGGUAGAGCACUGUUUCGGCAAGGGGGUCAUCCCGACUUACCAACCCGAUGCAAACUGCGAAUACCGGAGAAUGUUAUCACGGGAGACACACGGCGGGUGCUAACGUCCGUCGUGAAGAGGGAAACAACCCAGACCGCCAGCUAAGGUCCCAAAGUCAUGGUUAAGUGGGAAACGAUGUGGGAAGGCCCAGACAGCCAGGAUGUUGGCUUAGAAGCAGCCAUCAUUUAAAGAAAGCGUAAUAGCUCACUGGUCGAGUCGGCCUGCGCGGAAGAUGUAACGGGGCUAAACCAUGCACCGAAGCUGCGGCAGCGACGCUUAUGCGUUGUUGGGUAGGGGAGCGUUCUGUAAGCCUGCGAAGGUGUGCUGUGAGGCAUGCUGGAGGUAUCAGAAGUGCGAAUGCUGACAUAAGUAACGAUAAAGCGGGUGAAAAGCCCGCUCGCCGGAAGACCAAGGGUUCCUGUCCAACGUUAAUCGGGGCAGGGUGAGUCGACCCCUAAGGCGAGGCCGAAAGGCGUAGUCGAUGGGAAACAGGUUAAUAUUCCUGUACUUGGUGUUACUGCGAAGGGGGGACGGAGAAGGCUAUGUUGGCCGGGCGACGGUUGUCCCGGUUUAAGCGUGUAGGCUGGUUUUCCAGGCAAAUCCGGAAAAUCAAGGCUGAGGCGUGAUGACGAGGCACUACGGUGCUGAAGCAACAAAUGCCCUGCUUCCAGGAAAAGCCUCUAAGCAUCAGGUAACAUCAAAUCGUACCCCAAACCGACACAGGUGGUCAGGUAGAGAAUACCAAGGCGCUUGAGAGAACUCGGGUGAAGGAACUAGGCAAAAUGGUGCCGUAAC
rnacentral:rRNA from 1 species